GAGAAAGAAACAUGUAGGUUAUGUAGUUGGCUUGAAACUAACUUGAGGGGGUUCAAAUCCUUCCUUUCUUG
rnacentral:tRNA from 1 species